rnacentral:rRNA from 1 species
CCUACGGGAGGCUGCAGUGGGGAAUAUUGGACAAUGGGGGGAACCCUGAUCCAGCCAUGCCGCGUGUGUGAAGAAGGCCCUCGGGUUGUAAAGCACUUUCAGUGAGGAAGAACGCCUGGUGGUUAAUACCCAUCAGGAAAGACAUCACUCACAGAAGAAGCACCGGCUAACUCCGUGCCAGCAGCCGCGGUAAUACGGAGGGUGCGAGCGAUAAUCGGAAUUACUGGGCGUAAAGCGCGCGUAGGUGGCUUGAUAAGCCGGUUGUGAAAGCCCCGGGCUCAACCUGGGAACGGCAUCCGGAACUGUCAAGCUAGAGUGCAGGAGAGGAAGGUAGAAUUCCCGGUGUAGCGGUGAAAUGCGUAGAGAUCGGGAGGAAUACCAGUGGCGAAGGCGGCCUUCUGGACUGACACUGACACUGAGGUGCGAAAGCGUGGGUAGCAAACAGGAUUAGAUACCCCGGUAGUC